rnacentral:rRNA from 1 species
CUGGGACUGAGACACGGCCCAGACUCCUACGGGAGGCAGCAGUAGGGAAUCUUCCGCAAUGGACGAAAGUCUGACGGAGCAACGCCGCGUGAGUGAUGAAGGCUUUCGGGUCGUAAAACUCUGUUGUUAGGGAAGAACAAGUGCUAGUUGAAUAAGCUGGCACCUUGACGGUACCUAACCAGAAAGCCACGGCUAACUACGUGCCAGCAGCCGCGGUAAUACGUAGGUGGCAAGCGUUAUCCGGAAUUAUUGGGCGUAAAGCGCGCGCAGGUGGUUUCUUAAGUCUGAUGUGAAAGCCCACGGCUCAACCGUGGAGGGUCAUUGGAAACUGGGAGACUUGAGUGCAGAAGAGGAAAGUGGAAUUCCAUGUGUAGCGGUGAAAUGCGUA